AUUGACCCUGAUCUUGUCUUGCCUGGAAUCAUCUGCUAAAAAGCUGUGCAAGGGGCUCAACCCGCCUCUGGAUGAUGAGCCAGAGUGAGAGCCGACAAUAAGCUAAUGGAUGCCAUCUCUGCUGGAUAAUUAAUUCCCCCCUUUCAAUUCACGGAAAGCACGGUCGAAAAGACGUAAAGAAAUCGGUGAGCGCUUGCCUUACCUAGUAGGGCAGCCGACCAAGGCUCAGACCCUUAUGAAUCGGCCGUCCGGGCCUGUCAAGUUAGGCCUUCGUAAAAAAGUCCACAGGGCGUUAAG
rnacentral:lncRNA from 1 species